UGAGCCACCGUGCUCAUGAGGGCAUGAAGCUGAAACCUUGCCAUCUUCAGGUCAAAUUCAACUGCUGAAUAAUGAGACAAAAUGGCUGCAGAGUGGGGAGAAUCAACGUUCACAGGAUUCCUGUGUUGACCAAAAGACAGCAAUGUUGAACCAGACAGCAAUAGAAAUGUUAUUACGAAGCACAGCAGCAUCAGAAACCUCGAACACCUGCCACACAGCCUUGAGAUGGAGAGACCAGCAGCAGAACAUCCCCAAAAGAGGUGGAGGAGAAUGACUAUAGUCUGAAUAUACCUAUCUCGCUAUCACUAUCUACAGCUGUUGGAAACACAAAUCGGGAGCAGGAUGUUGCAGGCAAAUUUCCCUCUCAGCCACAUGGCCCAUAGUGGGCUGUCUGACGUAAAUCUGCCUGAAACUCCACUUUGCUAGAAAAAUCAGAAAACACAGUCCAACAAUACAAGAAAGUGAGUUCCUCGCUAGAGAAGAAAUAGAGGCAUAAAGAAUGCUUUGCCAUUCCAGCAGAAGUCAUCCAAAUGGCUUAAGUACUUAUGGAAAAUCAAACACAGAAACUGAGAAAGGCCAAAUGAGGCCAUCAACAUAUGACAUAGUUAACAAGUACAGGGAGGACUUGCUAGAUAUCGGUGGAUUUAUGGUACGCAUGGCUAUCAGAAUUAGAGACGUCAUGUCACCUGGGACAAAAUUUUACAGCUCUCUGCUGGUAAGUUUGCAAUCAAGAGUGUCUCCUUCCUGUCUCUUACUUAUCCAUUGCCAACUGACCAUAUAUUUUGCUAUAGAAAUUAAAGCCUACAGCAGUCCCCUUGUCUUCUUCCCAACUGAGACUUGUAAUCAAACAAUUGUUGAUCACUUAGAAAUUAUUUCCAAGUUGGCUAUAUUUCUUAGAUAGUUUGGAUGACAUCAUGAUUUAAUGUGUAUGCCUGACGGAUCUGUCUACUGGAACAUUGUGCAGGAAGUGGGGAUGCUUCCCU